GACGAACGCUGGCGGCGUGCUUAACACAUGCAAGUCGAGCGAUGAAAUCCCUCCGGGGAUGGAUUAGCGGCGGACGGGUGAGUAACACGUGGGCAACCUGCCUCAAAGUGGGGGAUAGCCUUCCGAAAGGAAGAUUAAUACCGCAUAACAUUAGUUUUUCACAUGAAUUACUAAUUAAAGGAGUAAUCCGCUUUGAGAUGGGCCCGCGGCGCAUUAGCUAGUUGGUGAGGUAACGGCUCACCAAGGCCACGAUGCGUAGCCGACCUGAGAGGGUGAUCGGCCACAUUGGAACUGAAACACGGUCCAGACUCCUACGGGAGGCAGCAGUGGGGAAUAUUGCACAAUGGGCGAAAGCCUGAUGCAGCAACGCCGCGUGAGUGAUGAAGGCCUUCGGGUUGUAAAGCUCUGUCUUUGGGGACGAUAAUGACGGUACCCAAGGAGGAAGCCACGGCUAACUACGUGCCAGCCGCCGCCGUAAGAC
rnacentral:rRNA from 1 species